rnacentral:rRNA from 1 species
ACGCUCGACACCUACGGGGGCAGCAGUGGGGAAUAUUGCACAAUGGGGGAAACCCUGAUGCAGCGACGCCGCGUGAGCGAAGAAGUAUUUCGGUAUGUAAAGCUCUAUCAGCAGGGAAGAAACUGACGGUACCUGACUAAGAAGCACCGGCUAAAUACGUACCAGCAGCCGCGGUAAUCUGAGCGGGCUGGCAAGGC